UACGGAGGGUUCAAGCGUUAUCCGGAAUCAUUGGGUUUAAAGGGUCCGUAGGCGGUUUUGUAAGUCAGUGGUGAAAGCCCAUCGCUCAACGGUGGAACGGCCAUUGAUACUGCAAGACUUGAAUUAUUGGGAAGUAACUAGAAUAUGUAGUGUAGCGGUGAAAUGCUUAGAGAUUACAUGGAAUACCAAUUGCGAAGGCAGGUUACUACCAAUAUAUUGACGCUGAUGGACGAAAGCGUGGGGAGCGAACAGG
rnacentral:rRNA from 1 species